UACCUGGUUGAUCCUGCCAGUAGUCAUACGCUUGUCUUAAGGAUUAAGCCAUGCAUGUCUAAGUGCGGUGUACUCAAACACGCCAGACUGCGGACGGCUCAUUAUAACAGUUAUAGUUUAUUUGAUGGUUCUUUUACGUGGAUAACCGUGGUAAUUCUAGAGCUAAUACAUGCCAAAAUUCCCAAGCCUCCGGGCGAGGGGAGCAUUUAUUAGAUGCCGAACCCAAUGGCCCUCGGGCCUAAUUGAGGACUCAUAAUAACUCAAGCAGAUCGUAUGCUUUACAGCGACGGCGUAUCAUUCAAGUUUCUGACCUAUCAGUUAGUCGGUAGUGUAUUGGACUACUGAGGCUCUGACGGGUAACGGAGAAUUAGGGUUCGAUUCCGGAGAGGGAGCCUGAGAAACGGCUACCACAUCUAAGGAAGGCAGCAGGCGCGUAACUUACCCAAUCCUGACUCAGGGAGGUAGUGACAAGAAAUCACAAUACUUCGCUCAAUUGAGCAAAGUAAUUGGAUUGAGAACAGGCUAAACAUGUUAACGAUAAACCAUUGGAGGGCAAGUCUGGUGCCAGCAGCCGCGGUAAUUCCAGCUCCAAUAGCGUAUACUAACGUUGUUGCAGUUAAAAAGCUCGUAGUUGGAUUUUUAGUUGCGCGGACCGGCCGUGGCCCUUAGUGUCGUGAGCCUGGUUCGUCGUGACUAUUUUGGCCCAGCGUGUCGUUGGCAUUAGUUUGUCGAUGGCUCCGCCAGGUCGAGUUUACUUUGAGAAAAUUAGAGUGUUCAAAACAGUCUUUCGAUUGUAUAUCAUAGCAUGGAAUAAUAACUGAUGACCUCGGUCACCUUUUGUUGGGUUCAGUUGGCUGAGAUAAUGAUUGAUAGGGUUAGUCGGAGGUCUUAGUAUUCUGUCGUUAGAGGUGAAAUUCAUGGAUCGGCAGAAGACUGACAACUGCGAAAGCAUUGAUCUAGGAUUUGCUCUUUGAUCAAGAACGAAAGUUGGGGGAUCGAAGACGAUCAGAUACCGUCGUAGUCUCAACUAUAAACUAUACCAGCUAGGGAUUGGCAAGCGUUUGACUUGACCUUGUCAGAACCUUAUGAGAAAUCAAAGCAUUUGGGUUCCGGGGGGAGUAUGGUCGCAAGGCUGAAACUUAAAGGAAUUGACGGAAGGGCACCACAAGUUGUGGAUCCUGUGGCUUAAUUUGACUCAACACGGGAAAACUUACCAGGUCCAGACAUAGUAAGGAUUGACAGAUUGACAGCUCUUUCUUGAUUCUAUGGGUGGUGGUGCAUGGCCGUUCUUAGUUGGUGGAGUGAUUUGUCUGGUUAAUUCCGUUAACGAACGAGACCAUUACCUGCUAAAUAGUCGGCCGGUCCUUUUGGAGCGGACUGACUUCUUAGAGGGACUAGCCAUCUAUUAAGUGGCUGGAAGUUAGUGGCAAUAACAGGUCUGUGAUGCCCUUAGAUGUUCUGGGCCGCGCACGGGCUACACUGACGGUGUAAAUGAGCCUCACUAUCAUGGUCCGAGAGGAUCGUGCAAUCUUGAAACACCGUCGUGGUUGGAAUCGACGAUUGUAAUUAUUCGUCGUGAACGAGGAAUACCUAGUAAGCGUGCAUCAUUAAUGCACAGUGAAUACGUCCCUGCCCUUUGUACACACCGCCCGUCGCUCCUACCGAUUGGAUGAGCUGGUGAGUUAAUCGGACGGUGGCCUGAGUCGCCUCACGGCGGCACUGGCCGCUGGAAACUUUGCAAACUAGACUAUCUAGAGGAAGGAGAAGUCGUAACAAGGUUUCCGUAGGUGAACCUGCAGAAGGAUC
rnacentral:rRNA from 1 species